rnacentral:lncRNA from 1 species
CUAAAUUAUUCAAGUGUAUUUAUUAAUUAGGAGAUACUAGCAUCAUGUCACUAAAAAUAUUUAUUGAAUACUUAUACCUACAUCAUUGCUAGCCUAUUAAAUAUUAACAGAUAAGACAUAUUAUCUGUUUAAAAUCUAGAUUGAGGAAGAGAAUAUAUACAUACAAGGGAAAUACCCACAGAACAUAAUAAACUACUAGUAUUAAGAAUACAAAAAAUUAUAUAGGAGUUCAAAUUUCAAGGAAUAAUUAUUUUUAUUUUCUAUUUUUUUAAGACAGAGUCUCAAUCUGUUGCCAAGGCUCGAGUGUCGUGGCUACAUCUCAGCUUACUGCUGCAACCUCUGCCUCCUGGGUUCAAGUGAUUCUCCUGCCUCAGCCUCCUGAGUAACUGGAAUUACAGUCAGGAGAAAGCACGAACGCAGUCCCCCACUACCACAAAUUGUGCAGUUGAGUUUCCCACAUUUGGGGAAAUGGCAGGGGUCAGCACAUCCGGAGUGCAAUGGAUAAGCCUCGCCCUGGGAAAACCACCUUCAUGAUCAUGAUAUCUCCCCUGCCAGACAGAGGCUCAGUCUGUCACUCAGGCCAAAGUGCAAUGGUGUUCUCUGCUCACUACAACCUCCACCUCCCUGGUUCAAGUGAUUCUUCUGCAUCAGCCUCCCAAGUAGCUGGAUUGCAGGUGCCCGAUACCACACCUGGCUAAUUUUUGUUUUCAGUAGAGAAAGGGAUUCACCAAGUUGACCAGGCUGGUGUCCAACUCCUGACCUCAAGUGAUCCUCCCACCUUGGCCUCCCAAAGUGCUGGGAUUACAGGCAUGAGCCACAAUGCCCAACUGAAACCUCCUCUCUUAACUGAGAGUCUGUAUUUUCUUUUGCAAGAAAGUGUGUCAAAGUUCUUUUGUCUUUCCUGAAGAUGUUUGUAACAUAAAAUACUAUCUGUUUUGUAUCCUCUGACAUCAGUUUCUUACUGAUAUUAUUACUAGAUUUCAAGGUCACUUCAGAAAUAUUUAGUAGUAAAAUAAAGGCUCUAAUUUAAAAGAAAAACUGUUGUUUUGUCUCUCAUCUGUUUCUGUUCUGUCUCUCUAAAUAGACAAUUUAGAGAGAAAUGUAAGUGAAUUAAUGGAACUGAAGAAUACAAUAUGGGAACUCCUAGAAGUAUACACAGGUUUAAACACUUGAAUUGAUCAAGCAGAAGAAAGGAUAUUAGAGGUUGAAGAUCAACUUAAUGAAAUAAAAUGAGAAGACAAGAUUAGAGAAAAAAGGAUAAAAGGAAUAAGC